rnacentral:rRNA from 1 species
AUUGAACGCUGGCGGCAGGCUUAACACAUGCAAGUCGAACGAGUGGCGGACGGGUGAGUAAUGCUUGGGAAUCUUGCUUAUGGGGGGGGAUAACUACGGGAAACUGUAGCUUAUAACGCGUACCAUAGGAUGAGCCCAAGUGGGAUUAGGUAGUUGGUGGGGGAAAGGCUCACCAAGCCGAGGAUAGCUAGCGGGUCUGAGAGGAUGACCGCCCACACGGGGCUGGUGCAACGCCCCAGCUUCCACGGGGGGGAAGAGGUGGGGAACAUUGGGCAAGGGGGACAGCCUACCGCAGCCAUGCCGCGUGAAGGAAGAAGCCCUUCGGUUUGUAAAGUUCUUUCGGUAGCGAGGCGGUACCGACAGAAGAAGCACCGGCUAACUCCGUGCCAGCAGCCGCGGUAAUUC